ensembl:lncRNA
CCUCCCCCGAGCUGCUGUUGUGCUCCAUGUCUGAAAGAUGUUUUCUUUUCUCGUUCUUUGCUCUAGUUACGAGGAUCCUGACAAGUGCCUGCUUCUCUAUGGUGAUGAUCAGGUAUGAAACAACAAUAAAAUGCCAUUAUUAUCUUUGGAGAGACAAGAUGGAAUCCAUUAAAUAAGAAGAUGCCAGUACAGAGGAAAAUCCAGAGGGGAAAAAAGAAUUCUUGGAAAUUAAAAUUGUGAUUUUAAAUACUUAAUAAAAUGGUUGGAAGAUAAUAUUUUCCCA